rnacentral:piRNA from 1 species
UUCCACGUGUGAAGUAGCUUGGUUUC